rnacentral:rRNA from 1 species
AUGCACAAAUGCAAGUUUGAAACAAUACAAGAACGCCUGAGGAAGAGACUAAUUGAUUGGAGUGAGAAAUAUAUGUCAUCAGGUAAGAAAGAAAUCUUAAUUAAAUCCAUGGCUCAAGCUAUUCCUGCUUAUGUUAUGAAUGUGUUCAAGCUUCUAGCCUCGGUUUGUGAUGAGCUCAGCCGUAUGAUGCGCCAAUAUUGGUGGGGAGUGGAGAAUGGGAAGAAGAAAAUGGCAUGGACAAGUUGGGACAAAAUGAUACUCCCCAAAUCUAUGGGGGGCAUGGGCUUCCGGGAUAUGAGAGCGUUCAACCAAGCACUGCUGGCUAAGCAAGCUUGGAGGCUCCUCGACUCCCCUGACAGCCUAGUUGCGAGACUAAUGAAGGCAAAGUAUUUCCCUCAAGGUCAGUUGCUAGAUACAGUAUUGUCAAUCUCUGGAUCAGCAGUGUGGAAAGGUAUUCUGCAUGGUUUGGAGCUGCUC